rnacentral:rRNA from 1 species
UACGAAGGGGGCUAGCGUUGUUCGGAAUUACUGGGCGUAAAGCGCGCGCAGGCGGUCCUUUAAGUCGGGGGUGAAAGCCCAGAGCUCAACUCUGGAACUGCCUUCGAAACUAGAGGACUUGGGUACGGGAGAGGUGAGUGGAAUUCCGAGUGUAGAGGUGAAAGUUCGUAGAUAUUCGGAAGAACACCAGUGGCGAAGGCGGCUCACUGGCCCGUUACCGACGCUCAGGCGCGACAGCGUGGGGGAGCAAACAGG